rnacentral:tRNA from 1 species
GCACCCGUAGCUCAGCAGGAUAGAGCGCCGGUUUCCUAAACCGUAGGUCAUGAGUUCGAAUCUCGUCGGGUGCG